rnacentral:lncRNA from 1 species
AUGCGUGGGCUUCGCCUAGCGAGCAUGACAGUUCAAGAAAUUCCUCUGAGCGUAGGUGAUUUUGGUGGCUUUUCUUGGGACUCGCUAGACGACCCAUUCUGCUCGCCUAGCGAGCAUGACAGCUCAUGAACAAACUUUUGCUCCUUCAAGAUUAACGUUUUGACUGAUGAAUAGACCCCAUUUGAACAUGUUGGAAGUAUCUCAAGCCAUUCCCUUGUG